GGAGAGCUGGCCGAGCGGCUGAAGGCGCGCCCCUGCUAAGGGCGUAUAGGUUAACCCUAUCGAGGGUUCGAAUCCCUCGCUCUCCGCCA
rnacentral:tRNA from 1 species